rnacentral:rRNA from 1 species
UACGAAGGGGACUAGCGUUGUUCGGAAUUACUGGGCGUAAAGCGCGCGUAGGCGGACCUGCAAGUCGGGGGUGAAAGCCCGAGGCUCAACCUCGGAACUGCCUUCGAUACUGCGGGUCUCGAGUCCGGGAGAGGUGAGUGGAAUUCCUAGUGUAGAGGUGAAAUUCGUAGAUAUUAGGAAGAACACCAGUGGCGAAGGCGGCUCACUGGCCCGGUACUGACGCUGAGGCGCGAAAGUGUGGGGAGCGAACAGG